rnacentral:rRNA from 1 species
CAUCCUCCAAGGCUAAAUACUCCUGACUGACCGAUAGUGAACCAGUACCGUGAGGGAAAGGCGAAAAGAACCCCGGCGAGGGGAGUGAAAAAGAACCUGAAACCGUGUACGUACAAGCAGUGGGAGCCCCACCACCAAAGCGUUUCGCUUUGCGUGGUGCGCAAAAUGCGUAACGACAGCACGAUUGCGGUUAACGGAGCGUCAGCGACGUUCAACACCACAAUCAGGCAGUGGAGCGUUUUGGGGUGGGGUGACUGCGUACCUUUUGUAUAAUGGGUCAGCGACUUAUAUUCUGUAGCAAGGUUAACCGUAUAGGGGAGCCGGAGGGAAACCGAGUCUUAACCGGGCGUUAAGUUGCAGGGUAUAGACCCGAAACCCGGUGAUCUAGCCAUGGGCAGGUUGAAGGUUGGGUAACACUAACUGGAGGACCGAACCGACUAAUGUUGAAAAAUUAGCGGAUGACCUGUGGCUGGGGGUGAAAGGCCAAUCAAACCGGGAGAUAGCUGGUUCUCCCCGAAAGCUAUUUAGGUAGCGCCUCGUGAAUUCAUCUCCGGGGGUAGAGCACUGUUUCGGCUAGGGGGCCAUCCCGGCUUACCAACCCGAUGCAAACUGCGAAUACCGGAGAAUGUUAUCACGGGAGACACACGGCGGGUGCUAACGUCCGUCGUGAAGAGGGAAACAACCCAGACCGCCAGCUAAGGUCCCAAAGUCAUGGUUAAGUGGGAAACGAUGUGGGAAGGCCCAGACAGCCAGGAUGUUGGCUUAGAAGCAGCCAUCAUUUAAAGAAAGCGUAAUAGCUCACUGGUCGAGUCGGCCUGCGCGGAAGAUGUAACGGGGCUAAACCAUGCACCGAAGCUGCGGCAGCGAACGUAUCACCCAAGACAACUUUGCACAGUUGACGAUUGACGGAGCGGAGCGACGUCAAAGCGUUUUACAACGUCGAGUUGGCUUAGGGAUACGUUCGUUGGGUAGGGGAGCGUUCUGUAAGCCUGCGAAGGUGGCCUGUGAGGGUUGCUGGAGGUAUCAGAAGUGCGAAUGCUGACAUAAGUAACGAUAAAGCGGGUGAAAAGCCCGCUCGCCGGAAGACCAA